UACGAAGGGGGCUAGCGUUGCCCGGAAUCACUGGGCGUAAAGGGUGCGUAGGCGGGUCUUUAAGUCAGGGGGGAAAUCCUGGAGCUCAACUCCAGAACUGCCUUUGAUACUGAGGAUCUUGAGUUCGGGAGAGGUGAGUGGAACUGCGAGUGUAGAGGUGAAAUUCGUAGAUAUUCGCAAGAACACCAGUGGCGAAGGCGGCUCACUGGCCCGAUACUGACGCUGAGGCACGAAAGCGUGGGGAGCAAACAGG
rnacentral:rRNA from 1 species